rnacentral:piRNA from 1 species
UGAGAAAGCAGUAAUGGGAAGUGUU